UGAGUAAUACAUCGGAACGUGUCUUCUAGUGGGGGAUAACUGCCCGAAAGGGCAGCUAAUACCGCAUGAGACCUGAGGGUGAAAGCGGGGGAUCGUAAGACCUCGCGCUGGAAGAGCGGCCGAUGUCCGAUUAGCUAGUUGGUGAGGUAAAGGCUCACCAAGGCGACGAUCGGUAGCUGGUCUGAGAGGACGACCAGCCACACUGGGACUGAGACACGGCCCAG
rnacentral:rRNA from 1 species